rnacentral:lncRNA from 1 species
AAGUCCAGGAAAUGGCAUUUUAGAGACUCUAAAUUUAAAAAUUUCCUCGGGCCUUCGGCCCUCGCUUUCAGCCCCCCCAAUCGAAAGAGCUUCCUACGGCCCUCAAUGUACUGCCAUGCAUUAUGUUUGGACAUAGUUGAAUUAUGUUCAAGAGUCGGGCGGCGUGUUACAACAUUUCAAUCUCGGAGAUUUUUCGGGGAUUCUGACUAAACUAGUAAAGAAUCGUGGUAAGCCAAUGCUGCCAACGUACGCG